GAAAUCCAUGGCGCCGCCCAAGUUAUAACGCUGGGUAAAGUAAAUUCACACAAUCACAUAGGUUCAAACGACUUCAUCUCUGUUGGAUGGCAAGAGUUUGCAGGUGCACACCAGGCCUUCUAAUCCCGUUCACAUCUUGUACUAAACUUAUGGCCUGCCUUAGGAAAAAGACGCAACCCACAUUAAAAUAAAUCAAUCAAUUACCAACGGACUGAAUUAUGAGAAAAACAGAAGACUGCCUCUAUUCAGUUUUUUUUCGUUUUGUGGUAAAUGAAACUUUGUCAUAUUACACAACUACUGAAUACCAUAUAAUAUUCCGAGUAACUAUUUACUGUUGAUUUUCGUAAAACAUCGUCGGUAAACGAGGGAUACUGACUAUAGAUUUUCUCUGAUCAUGUUUUUCUUUUUUGUUUACGUAUGACGUCACAGAUUUUGUUGCCGAUCAGCUGCACCAAUGUGAAGGUGGAGAGCGCCGACCAGAGGCAGUAUCCACCUGCAGCUGCUCUCUCACAAGAAUAUUUCUGAUUGAUGACUAAAGUGGCAUUUGCAAAUGGGCUAUAGGAUAUUUCUGGCACAGUUGCAGUUCAACUGGUAUAAAUAAUGCCAGUGCUACUUCGAUGUUACUCUUGCCCCGUCUUCUUAAGGUACAAAGUUUUAAGUUUUUU